GACAGAGGCCUCGAGCGUUAGGCGGAAUCACUGGGCUUAAAGCGUGUGUAGGCGGGCCCGUAAGUGUCUUGUGAAAUCCCACGGCUCAACCGUGGAACUGCUGGGCAUACUGCGGGUCUUGGGCCAACUAGGGGCAGCCGGAACAAGCGGUGGAGCGGUGAAAUGCGUAGAUGUCGCUUGGAACGCCGAAGGUGAAAACAGGCUGCUGGGGUUGCGCCGACGCUGAGACACGAAAGCCAGGGGAGCAAACGGG
rnacentral:rRNA from 1 species